rnacentral:rRNA from 1 species
GAUGAACGCUGGCGGCGUGCCUAAUACAUGCAAGUCGAGCGAAUGGAUUAAGAGCUUGCUCUUAUGAAGUUAGCGGCGGACGGGUGAGUAACACGUGGGUAACCUGCCCAUAAGACUGGGAUAACUCCGGGAAACCGGGGCUAAUACCGGAUAACAUUUUGAACCGCAUGGUUCGAAAUUGAAAGGCGGCUUCGGCUGUCACUUAUGGAUGGACCCGCGUCGCAUUAGCUAGUUGGUGAGGUAACGGCUCACCAAGGCAACGAUGCGUAGCCGACCCGGGAGGGGGAUCGGCCACACUGGGACUGAGACACGGCCCAGACUCCGACGGGAGGCAGCAGUAGGGAAUAUUGCACAAUGGGCGCAAGCCUGAUGCAGCGACGCCGCGUGAGGGAUGAAGGCUUUCGGGUCGUAAAACUCUGUUGUUAGGGAAGAACAAGUGCUAGUUGAAUAAGCUGGCACCUUGACGGUACCUAACCAGAAAGCCACGGCUAACUACGUGCCAGCCGCCGCAGUAA